UAUGAAAUGCCUGAAAAAGGAUUAUUUUGAUAGAAUAAUUUAUAUAUAUAUUAAUUAUAUUUUCAUUU
rnacentral:tRNA from 1 species